UACGGGGGGGGCAAGCGUUGUUCGGAAUUACUGGGCGUAAAGGGCUCGUAGGUGGCCCCAUAAGUCAGACGUGAAAUCCCUCGGCUCAACCGAGGAACUGCGUCUGAGACUGCGGGGCUUGAAUCCGGGAGAGGGAUGCGGAAUUCCAGGUGUAGCGGUGAAAUGCGUAGAUAUCUGGAGGAACACCGGUGGCGAAGGCGACUUCUUGGCCUGUUCUUGACGCUGAGGCGCGAAAGCUGGGGGGAGCAAACGGGG
rnacentral:rRNA from 1 species